GUUGCUGGAGUCAGAAAUCAGGUAUUUUUCCUCUCGGUGUGUUUAUUUUAGACACUUUGGAUCCGGGAGAAGGGAGAAGGAGAGAGCCGAGAGAGCUGAUGGAGUCGGAGCAGCUUCCAGCUGCAUGGUCUCUGCACGAUGAGGAAGCGGAGGUGGGCGGGGCCUCACCGCCAUUCAUGGGUGUGUCUGAAGACCUGGGAGGUGGUCCUUUAAUCCCCGUGACACAACAUAGAAAGGAUGAUCCGUGGUCAUGUGACAGCUCUGCGUCCUCCUCUGAAGACAGCGACGAUGAUGAUUCGAGGUGGAGGAAGAAAAAAAAGAAGAAGAAACUUAGGAAAAAGAAGAGCAAGAGAUCGAGUUCGUCAUCAUCGUCUUCCUCCAGUUCCUCGUCGGACAGUGACAGCAGUGAGGAAGAGAAGAAGAAGCGGAGGAGGAGGAGGAAAAGGAAAGAGAACGCUGUGACGACAGCGAUACCUGAGUCAGGCCUCGUGCUGGAAAUUGUGUUAACGCCACUAAAACAGCAAAACGACGAGCGAGAGAUGAAGAAAGCAAAAAAAGACAGCACUAGAGAGAAGAAAAAGAAGAAAGACAAGAAGAAGCGGAGGCAAAGAAAAAGAAGAAGAAGAACAAAAAGAAUAAAAAGAAAAAGAAGAAGAAGAAGAAAAAGAAGAAGAAGAAGAAGAAGAAGAAGAAGAAGGACUCGAGCUCUUCAUCUUGUUCCUCAUCCUCUUCAGAUAGUGAGGAUGACAAGAAGAAGAAGAAAAGAAGAAGAAGAAGAAGAAGAAGGGGAAAAAGAAGGCCAGCGGCUCUUCAUCUUCAUCGGACAGCGAGAGGAACGGAAGAGGAUGAAGAAGAAAAAAAGGGGAAAGAAGAAAAAGCGCAAAUCCAAGAAGAUGAAGAAGAAGGGUUCCAGUUCUCCUUCUCCUCACGAUGUUGAUGAAAAUAAAGAAAAGCAGGAAGACUUAAAGAAGGUGGAAGUGAAGGGAGAAGAUCGGGAUGGACGGAGCGACGCAACGGGAGGAGUAGAGGACGGAGAAAGAUACGAUAUGUUCCCAGACGAUCCUACACGUGGCGUCUUUACUGAGGGGGCGGAGUCUCAGGGGGAGGGCUCCAGGGGCACCUGGAGGGGCGGAGCUUUAGGCUACAAGUCUCACCUGGACACCGAGAGGAACAGCGACGAGUCACAAUAUCAGAUGUUGAACGAGAAUGAAUUGUGAUUUCUUUUUUUAAAAAAACAUUUUGCUUUUUAUAAUUCAGAGUAAAAAAUCAUUCAUAUGUUCAGUUUAUCUCACACUCUAAAGAUUCGAGUUUAGAUUUGAUUCAGGCGAUUCACUUGUUUAACUUGUUUCGUUUUCCGGUACACAAUCACAGGUUUUGCAUUAGGAACGGGUUUCUUUAUGUCAGAGAUUUCAGAUGUGUUUUUUUUUUCUUUUUUUUUUGCUUCAUGGAGCAUGAAAUUCUGACUUUUUUUUUUGCUUAAGUUGACGUUUUAGACGCUAGUUCAGAUUUCAGAUUUGAUCGAAUGCGCACAAAGGGAUAAAAUGACGAAUAAGGACAAAUUAGAUCUGAAAGUUUUGUUGACAGUUUGCUUUUAGCGAAUAAAAUCGGAAAUGUUUGGUAGUCGUAAGGAAGCUAUAUUUAUCGCGGAAAUCAUUUCAUCCCGUUUCUUUGAUCAGUCUGGAUAUUUCUGCAGAAAAUGUUUUCAUUUCGAAUCCCAUUUUAAUAACUUUUCAGAUAAUAAAACGGCAAGAGUGAUGAAAUGAAAACCUGAAAACCGCGACAUUACAACCCAGUCUAAAAUUUUAUCUAGAAGAAUCUAGAAACUCUUGCAUUGACAGAAAUAGAGAUUAUGAAAAACGAUACACUUUGGGGACACUCAUUCGCAAUAAACAACCACAACAACAAAAUAAGCUUUUCAUUUGAUUCACCUUUGUAUUAAUCAGCUGGCAUAAAGUGAGAUUUGUUUUUCUUUUUUUUUUGCUUUUUUUUUUGCUUUUCAGUAAAAAAAUGAUUUCAGGCUGUUUAGGAUUUAAUGGCACAGAAAUGCAUGGACAUUAAGUCUUAAUUGACUUAUUCCAAAUAAAAAUAAAAAACAAUAUGAGCUUUAUAGUGUGAUGA
ensembl:lncRNA